UACGUUCCUCACUGAGGGCCCUGGUGCCUUUGGAUAAUUUUAGCCCUCAGUAUCUAAUCUGCUGUGAGCAGAGCCGAGCCUUUGGUUUGGAAACCUUGUAGCCACAGGUAGUGAGGAAAUUUAAGAGUUCUUGGGUGGCUUGAUGGCACAAGGUUUCUGAACGGGCGACUAAAAGUAAAUCAUCCAUGUACUGAAGGACAAGAGUGUCCAGGUAUGAGAAUUGGCUCAAGUCUUGGGCUAAUGCCUGGCCAAAUAGAUGGGGGCUAUCCCUGAACCCUUGGGGUAAAACAGUCCAGGUGAGUUGACAGGUUGUGUUUGAAGGAUCUUCAAAGGCAAACAAGAAUUGAGAGUCAGGAUGUACAGGGAUGCAGAAAAAGGCAUUCUUAAGGUCCAGGACUGUAAACCACUCUGCUUCCUCUGGUAUUUGGGAAAGCAGAGUAUAAGGGUUAGGUACAGCUGGGUAUAGAGGGACAAUGGCCUCAUUGAUAAUCCUGAGCUCUUGUGCAAACCUCCACUGUCUGUUGGGUUUCUCUACUCCUAAAAUUGGAGUAUUGCAGGGGCUAUUGCAUGGUUUUACUAGGCCUUGGGCUUUUAGGUCCUUAACAAUCUUUUGGAGUCCUUGUUGGGCCUCAGGUCUAAGGGAGUACUGCCUUUGGUAGGGAAAGGAGGCGGAAUCCUUUAGUUUAACUAGAACAGGAUGGGCAUUCUUUGCUCGUCCAUAUUGUCCUUCUGUUGCCCAGACUUCAGGAUUAAUUCCUUCCUCAAGCAGGGACAACAAAUGGGUGUUCCUUCUCCUAUGUUCAGGUGUAUAAUGGCCCCUGCUUUUGCUAGAAUGUCUUUCCCUAACAAGGGAGUGGAGCUUUCAGGCAUAAUUGGAAAAGCAUGAGAAAAGAGUAAAGUUCCCCAGGCACAACUUAGUGGCUGGGAGAAGUAUCUAAUGACUGGCUGUCCUAGGACCCCUCGGAGAGUGACAGAUCUGGAGGACAGUUGUCCGGGACAGGAGAGUAAGACUGAGAAGGCCGCGCCAGUGUCCAGGAGACAGUUAACCUCCUGGCCCUCAAUGGUCAAGCAUACCCGAGGCUCUGUGAGGGUAAUGGCAUGGGCUGGUGCUUGCCCCGGUACCCUCAGUCCUGCUGCUGGAUCAUCUGGUUAGUGGCUUCUGACUCAGAGGACCUUCAUCCCCUGGGGCAGUGGGCCUUCUAGUGAUUCCCUUGACAUAAUGGUGGACGAGGAGGCAGCUUAUUUCUACUUGGAUGAUCUUUUUUAACGUGUGCUUGUAGACCGCACUGGAAGCAAGCCCUGUUAGGCAUUCGAUUUUCCCAGCUUUUCCUUUUCCAGAGCCUCCAAAGUCCACUUGCCUGAGGGCCAUGACUAAAGCAGUGGCCUUUUUAAAUCCCGUUUGUCCUGUUCCGCCUGCUCCUCCUGAUCUCUAUUAUAAAAAACCAAGGUUGCCAAGUUCAAUAGGGUUUCUAAGUUUUGCUCUGGGCCUAAGGCGGACUUUUGAAGUUUUUUUCUAAUGUCUGCAGCUGACUGAGUGAUAAACUUAUCCUUUAAGAUUAGUUGGCCUUCAAUAGAGUCAGGUGACAGAGAGGUAUGCUUCCUCAAUGCCUCCCUUAGUCUCUCCAGAAAAGCAGUAGGAUUUUCUUCCUUUCCCUGUGUUAUAGUGGACAUCAUUGAAAAAUUUGUAGGCUUCUUCCUGGUUUUCCUUAGUCCUUCCAGCACACAAGUUAGCAAAUGUCUGCAGCACCAAUCUCCAUGUUCUGAUUCUGCGUCCCAGUGAGGGUCUACACUGGGAACUGCCUGCUGGCCUGUGGGGAAUCAUUCUCUUUCCUCUGUUAUCAUCCUAUCAUUGACCUGACUGAGAUACCAGAGAUCGCCAAACUCUCAGGCUGCAGUUAUGGUGGCACUUCUCUCAUUUGGGGUUAACGUCUGAUUUAGCAGUAACAUUAUAUCUCUCCAUAUCAGAUCGAAGGAUUGUCCUAACCCCUGUAAAACAUCAAUAUAGCCAUCAGGGUUAUCUGAGGAUUUACCUAGGUCUAUUUUAAUUUGCUUUAAGUCCGAGAGAGAAAAAGGUACAUGCACUCUGGCUGGGAUGAAUUCUCCUCCUCUCACUGCUUGGAGGGGGCAUAAUCGGGGAAUAUUGGCACCUUUGAUUCAUUGUUUACCCCUUUGUCUAUCUCCUUUUGGACCGUUUGGGUUCAAGGGGGGUCCUUAUUAGUUGGGGGAGGAGUUGGGGGGAUGGUGGGGUAGGGAGGUAGACUCUGAAGGCUUCUUGUAGGGCAUAAAUCACACUUUUUACAUAAUUGCGAGUUGUCUCUUAAUGAAAAGAAAGUUUGUACAUAUGGCACUUCACUCCAGUUGCCUUCUUUUUUACAAAAGAGUUCUAGCUGUAAGAUGGUGUUAUAAUUUAUACUUCCCUCCAGAGGCCAGGUUUCUCCCCCUUGAAGAGGAUAUCGUGGCCAGGCGGUACUGCAGAAGAAAAUGAGUCAUUUCUUUCUUAGCAUCUGAGGGUCAAAUUGGUCCCAAUUCUCCAGAAUACAUCUUAGGGGCAUUUUUGCCUUGGGCGGAACAUUUCCUAUCUGAAAAAAGAACUGAGGGAUGCCAGCACCCCUAGUCAUUUUCCGAUGUGCAUUAAUCUUAGAGUGUCCGCUGUGGUCCUAAUGCUUAUUCCUUUCCAGGGUGCGUAACCACCCAUGGACCUCGGCUUAUCGGAUUAGUUAUGCUCACCGAAGUAGCAGUCUUGCACCCUUUUCCUGCCUUUCUUGACCACAAAGAAAGGGGUCCAGGCUGCUGGAUUCUAGUGGUCCUUUACCAGCGUACCCAACAUUGCCUUUGUGCUCAGGGGUGAGUCCUAGAGCUGGGCUGGGUUCCUGAGUAUUUCAUAACAACCCAGCUUCCCCAUCAAGAUGCAUUCCCAUAAACAACAGUUCUUAUGCAAAUUCAUUUCAGAGAGGGUGUAGGUAACCUUUUGAGUCAGGAUUGAGAUAGUCUUUUUUGAUUCUGUGAGUACUUUAAGGCUUGGCUGAGUGCAAACGGCUCGCACGUUUGAGGAGACCAAUUAUUAAGCAAUUUUUCUAACUCUGCUUCCACAAGAGUCUCCCUACCAAUUACUGAAUGCCCAUUGUGGUUUUUUCCUCAGUCACCAGGGAAGAACCAUCUACUGUCCUGUCCUGAAGGGAGUUCCUCCUAGAUCUGGUCGGACCUUUGUAUGGUAAUUAAGAUUUAAAUCCUUUGUUGGGAAAUCUGCUGGGUUAAUGGGAUUAUCAGUGGUUGGUGUUAAAUUACCUUUUUCUAACAGAAAAGCCGCAUGCUUUAAGAUUUUUGAGUUAGUAAGCUACCUUUUUGCUUUUUUGACUUAGAAUAAUUCUGAACUGAUUAGGUGUGCUCACAAUGAGGUUUCCUCUAAACGUCACUUUUCUACUUUCUUCUGUUUUUGUAUAAGGUGUAAGGAAGGGAUCCAGUUUCAGCUUUCUACAUAUGGCUAACCAGUUUUCCCAGCACCAUUUAUUAAAUAGGGAAUCCUUUCCCCAUUUCUUGUUUUUGUCAGGUUUGUCAAAGAUCAGAUGGUUGUAGAUGUGUGGUAUUAAUUCUGAGGGCUCUGUUCUGUUCCAUUGGUCUGUAUCUCUGUUUUGGUACCAGUACCAUGCUGUUUUGGUUACUGUAGCCUUGUAGUAUAGUUUGAAGUCAGGUAGCAUGAUGCCUCCAGUUUUGUUCUUUUUGCUUAGGAGUGUCUUGGCAAUGCAGGCUCUUUUUUGGUUCCAUAUGAACUUUCAAGUAGUUUUUUCCAAUUCUGUGAAGAAAGUCAUUGGUAGCUUGAUGGGGAUGGCAUUGAAUCUAUAAAUUACCUUGGACGGUAUGGCCAUUUUCACAAUAUUGAUUCUUCCUAUCUAUGAGCAUGGAAUGGCCUUCCAUUUGUUUGUGUCCUCUUUUAUUUCGUUGAGCAGUGGUUUGUAGUUCUCCUUGAAGAGGUCCUUCGCAUCCCUUGUAAAUUGGAUUCCUAGGUAAUUUAUUCUCUUUGAAGCAAUUGUGAAUGAGAGUUCACUCAUGAUUUGGCUCUCUGUUUGUCUGCUAUUGGUGUAUAGGAAUGCUUUUGAUUUUUGCACAUUGAUUUUGUAUCCUGAGACUUUACUGAAGUUGGUUAUCAGCUUAAGGAGAUUUUUGGCUGAGACGAUGGGGUUUUCUAAAUAUACAAUCAUGUCAUCUGCAAACAGGGACAAUUUGACUUCCUCUGUUCCUAGUUGAAUACCCUUUAUUUCUUUCUCCUGCCUGAUUGCCCUGGCCAGAACUUCCAACACUAUGU
rnacentral:lncRNA from 1 species